GUGCCAGCAGCCGCGGUAAUACAGAGGUCUCAAGCGUUGUUCGGAUUCAUUGGGCGUAAAGGGUGCGUAGGCGGUGAGGUAAGUCGGAUGUGAAAUCCCGGGGCUCAACCCCGGAACUGCAUUCGAUACUGCUUUACUUGAGGACUGGAGAGGAGAUUGGAAUUCACGGUGUAGCAGUGAAAUGCGUAGAUAUCGUGAGGAAGACCAGUGGCGAAGGCGAAUCUCUGGACAGAUCCUGACGCUGAGGCACGAAGGCUAGGGGAGCAAACGGGAUUAGAUACCCCGGUAGUCCUAGCAGUAAACGGUGCACGUUUAGUAUGGGAGGAAUCGACCCCUUCCGUGCUGGAGCUAACGCGUUAAACGUGCCGCCUGGGGAGUACGGUCGCAAGAUUAAA
rnacentral:rRNA from 1 species